rnacentral:rRNA from 1 species
GAUGAACGCUGGCGGCGUGCCUAAUACAUGCAAGUCGAGCGAACUUUUGGGAGCUUGCUCCCAAAAGUUAGCGGCGGACGGGUGAGUAACACGUGGGUAACCUGCCUGUAAGACUGUGAUAACUUCGGGAAACCGGAGCUAAUACCGGAUAACAUUGAAGACCACAUGUCCUUCAAUUAAAAGGUGGCUUUUAGCUACCACUUACAGAUGGACCCGCGGCGCAUUAGCUAGUUGGUGAGGUAACGGCUCACCAAGGCGACGAUGCGUAGCCGACCUGAGAGGGUGAUCGGCCCCACUGGGAACGGGACACGGCCCCGACCUCUACGGGAGGCAGCAGUAGGGAAUCUUCCGCAAUGGACGAAAGUCUGACGGAGCAAAGGCGCGUGAGCGAAGAAGGCUUUCGGGUCGUAAAGCUUCGUUGUUAGGGAAGAACAAGUAUCGUUCGAAUCGGGCGGUACCUUGACGGUACCUAACCAGAAAGCCACGGCUAACUACGUG